rfam:chromosome VIII of strain GB-M1 of Encephalitozoon cuniculi (Microspora)
GGGUCCGUAGCUCAGCGGUAGAGCAAUUGAUUGCAGAUCAAUCGGUCACAGGUUCGAUUCCUGUCGUGCCCU